CCACGAUUCACAACAAGACUUUAACUGCAUCCCGUUAUCUACAUACCACACAUAGAGCCGUUUCCGUUCUCUCCCGGUGUGGUUGUAGUAGUAGGAAAUCAAAGCCUUUACACUCUGUAUCUUUGGCUGACAGACCGACAGUAGUUAACCUAACGUUACCGGUGUUACUAGCAUUUGAGUCCAGUGGAGGGAGGUAGAGGAGGUGGGAGUGAGAGCAGGGAAGGAGGGGGGAGCAACCAGGGCUGACGAUGGAGUAGGACUCGGAUAAAAGACACAGAAAAGGGAUUCAAAAAGGGGUCCUCUAGUGGUCUCUCCUGCCGCUCUCGAUCAUAGCGGCCACCAGCCUCGACGCUGCUCCUGGUCCUGCAUUCCUCUGUCCCCGGGCCCAGUGGAACAGCAUGUCCAGCACCAAGGCUCCCAGGUUGUCCCUGGAUGCGUCACCAGAGGGUUUUUUUUAGCAUGAGGAGCACGGGGAGGGGAUGAGCAUCAGUCUGUGUGUAAUCUCCUGCAGUGUCCCAGAUGGCUUAGUGAUGGCUGACAGUGCAGAUUAAAACAAUCAAAAUCCUCUAUCAUUUCUCUCCCACUGCAGUUUUCCUUCACUCACGUUACAUCUCUCCAAUUCCCUCUUGUUCCCUUAGAGGCUUUGGUUGUACUAACACGCAUUUGUGCACGCACUGGUUACGUCAUUCACUCAUGUAGAGAUGCUUUAAAACAGAAAAUGUACAUUUUGGUCAGGUUGAUAUGGAAUUUUGAUUAUUUUCUCAUUAUAAAUGAGCUCUGCUUUCAUAUGAAUGUGUAACUUACCUCUUUUUUUUUUACCUGGUAAUAGGUUAUAAGAUACAGUUCAAAUUAGGGCUGGGCAAUAUAUCAAUAUUAUA